AACGAACGCUGGCGGCAUGCCUAACACAUGCAAGUCGAACGAGGCCUUCGGGUCUAGUGGCGCACGGGUGCGUAACGCGUGGGAACCUGCCCUUAGGUUCGGAAUAACUCCCCGAAAGGGGUGCUAAUACCGGAUAAUGUCUUCGGACCAAGAUUUAUCCCCUUUGGAUGGGGCCGGGUUGGAUUAGCUAGUUGGUAGGGUAAAAGCCUACCAAGGCGACGAUCCAUAGCUGGUCUGAGAGGAUGAUCAGCCACACUGGGACUGAGACACGGCCCAGACUCCUACGGGAGGCAGCAGUGGGGAAUAUUGGACAAUGGGCGAAAGCCUGAUCCAGCAAUGCCGCGUGAGUGAUGAAGGCCUUAGGGUUGUAAAGCUCUUUUACCCGGGAUGAUAAUGACAGUACCGGGAGAAUAAGCUCCGGCUAACUCCGUG
rnacentral:rRNA from 1 species